rnacentral:rRNA from 1 species
UACGUAGGGGGCGAGCGUUAUUCGGAAUUAUUGGGCGUAAAGAGUACGUAGGUGGUUUUGUAAGCGUGGGGUGAAAGACCGAAGCUUAACUUCGGUUAGCCUUGCGAACUGCAGGACUUGAGUGCAGGAGAGGAAAGUGGAAUUCCUAGUGUAGCGGUGAAAUGCGUAGAUAUUGGGAAGAACACCGGUGGCGAAGGCGACUUGCUGGGCAGCAACUGACGCUGAGGCGCGAAAGCCAGGGGAGCAAACGGGAUUAGAUACCCGUGUAGUCCCUGAGCGGGCU